rnacentral:rRNA from 1 species
GAUGAACGCUGGCGGCGUGCUUAACACAUGCCAGUCGAACGAGAAGUGAAGACGGAAACCUUCGGGCGGAAGGCUUUAUUUCGAGUGGCGGACGGGUGAGUAACGCGUGGGUAACCUGCCUCAUACAGGGGGAUAACAGUUGGAAACGACUGUUAAUACCGCAUAAGACCACAGCACCGCAUGGUGCGGGGGUAAAAACUCCGGUGGUAUGAGAUGGACCCGCGUUCGAUUAGCCAGUUGGCGGGGUAACGGCCCACCAAAGCGACGAUCGAUAGCCGAUCUGAGAGGAUGACCGGCCACAUUGGGACUGAGUCACGGCCCAAACUCCUACGGGAGGCAGCAGUGGGGAAUAUUGCACAAUGGGGGAAACCCUGAUGCAGCGACGCCGCGUGAGUGAAGAAGUAUUUCGGUAUGUAAAGCUCUAUCAGCAGGGAAGAAAAUGACGGUACCUGAGUAAGAAGCCCCGGCUAACUACGUG